GUGGUCGCCUGGGGGGACGCAGGGGAGCCCGAGGAGACCUUGGGGAGCGGUGGAGCAAGUUCUGGGCUUGACAGGAGGGGGAGUUACGGGAUCCUCAGUCGCCACAGUUGGUCACUGUUGUCUUUAAACAGCUUGAUUUUAUCACAUUGCAGUUACAUCUCAAAAAUGUUGCGGGACGUCUUUGCGGGCCAAGAGUUAAGAACCAGCGCGAGGGAAAGCGCAGAUCCUAGAAGGCUGUACUCCACCCAGUUGUGCACCCCCCCAGGGCUGGUCUUCACGCCGGUGGGUCUGCCUGGCUUGGCUGGAAGCUGUGCUUUGGAACUGAGCCAGCAGCUGUACUUGGGAAGUUUGCAGCUCAGUGAUGCACCCCACCCCACCCCCACCCCCCUUAUUUGCUUCCCUUUGCAUUUCCCCUUACCCUUGCUGCCCUGGGAUUGCACUUCCUCAUAAAAAUCUUAGCACUUACACACUUGGCCUCAGGCUUUGCUUUCUAGGUAAAGCAGUUGGACUUGGGGCUGUGCUUUUCUGAAAAUUUCAUAGCCACAAUGGCAAACAAAUUAGAAUUAUUUUUGUUUCUGCCCUAAAAUGCUAGUUUAAGAGACAGUGAGCUGAGACCAAUACUAAGUAUAUGUAUUUGUAUAAGUGUUCCUCUGAAGUUGAUAAAGAUAAAAAUUAGGUUUUCAGUGUGUUGGUUAGUAGUUGUUUCCCUUCAAGAGUAAAUUCCCAGAGCAUAAGAUUUUGCAUACUGUAAACAUUUGGAACUUUGAGACACUUAAGAGGAUAUAGGUGCAAAACAAAGAAAAUGGAUUUCACUCAUGAUCAUAAAGCUGUUAAUUUGGAGGUAGGGGAAGGUUAUGUUUCUUGUUCAUUCAUGAAGCCAUGUUCAAUCUUUCCUAAAAUCUUAUUAUUAGGGGAGGAUAAGUUAAAACUUUUCCAAGCAACUUCUGGUCAAGAAUACUUUGUAAAACAGUUUUUCUUUGCAUUAUUUUAAAUGAUGAGAACCAGUAAAUUUGUAUUUUCAAUAAAAGCCACCGUUUUUCUGACCUCAGAUUUGUAGAUAUUUAUUAUC